AGAGUUUGAUCAUGGCUCAGAUUGAACGCUGGCGGCAGGCCUAACACAUGCAAGUCGAGCGGUAGCACAGAGAGCUUGCUCUCGGGUGACGAGCGGCGGACGGGUGAGUAAUGUCUGGGAAACUGCCUGAUGGAGGGGGAUAACUACUGGAAACGGUAGCUAAUACCGCAUAACGUCGCAAGACCAAAGUGGGGGACCUUCGGGCCUCAUGCCAUCAGAUGUGCCCAGAUGGGAUUAGCUAGUAGGUGGGGUAACGGCUCACCUAGGCGACGAUCCCUAGCUGGUCUGAGAGGAUGACCAGCCACACUGGAACUGAGACACGGUCCAGACUCCUACGGGAGGCAGCAGUGGGGAAUAUUGCACAAUGGGCGCAAGCCUGAUGCAGCCAUGCCGCGUGUGUGAAGAAGGCCUUCGGGUUGUAAAGCACUUUCAGCGGGGAGGAAGGCGAUAAGGUUAAUAACCUUGUCGAUUGACGUUACCCGCAGAAGAAGCACCGGCUAACUCCGUGCCAGCAGCCGCGGUAAUACGGAGGGUGCAAGCGUUAAUCGGAAUUACUGGGCGUAAAGCGCACGCAGGCGGUCUGUCAAGUCGGAUGUGAAAUCCCCGGGCUCAACCUGGGAACUGCAUUCAAAACUGGCAGGCUAGAGUCUUGUAGAGGGGGGUAGAAUUCCAGGUGUAGCGGUGAAAUGCGUAGAGAUCUGGAGGAAUACCGGUGGCGAAGGCGGCCCCCUGGACAAAGACUGACGCUCAGGUGCGAAAGCGUGGGGAGCAAACAGGAUUAGAUACCCUGGUAGUCCACGCCGUAAACGAUGUCGAUUUGGAGGUUGUGCCCUUGAGGCGUGGCUUCCGGAGCUAACGCGUUAAAUCGACCGCCUGGGGAGUACGGCCGCAAGGUUAAAACUCAAAUGAAUUGACGGGGGCCCGCACAAGCGGUGGAGCAUGUGGUUUAAUUCGAUGCAACGCGAAGAACCUUACCUGGUCUUGACAUCCACAGAACUUUCCAGAGAUGGAUUGGUGCCUUCGGGAACUGUGAGACAGGUGCUGCAUGGCUGUCGUCAGCUCGUGUUGUGAAAUGUUGGGUUAAGUCCCGCAACGAGCGCAACCCUUAUCCUUUGUUGCCAGCGGUCCGGCCGGGAACUCAAAGGAGACUGCCAGUGAUAAACUGGAGGAAGGUGGGGAUGACGUCAAGUCAUCAUGGCCCUUACGACCAGGGCUACACACGUGCUACAAUGGCAUAUACAAAGAGAAGCGACCUCGCGAGAGCAAGCGGACCUCAUAAAGUAUGUCGUAGUCCGGAUUGGAGUCUGCAACUCGACUCCAUGAAGUCGGAAUCGCUAGUAAUCGUAGAUCAGAAUGCUACGGUGAAUACGUUCCCGGGCCUUGUACACACCGCCCGUCACACCAUGGGAGUGGGUUGCAAAAGAAGUAGGUAGCUUAACCUUCGGGAGGGCGCUUACCACUUUGUGAUUCAUGACUGGGGUGAAGUCGUAACAAGGUAACCGUAGGGGAACCUGCGGUUGGAUCACCU
rnacentral:rRNA from 1 species